rnacentral:rRNA from 1 species
CAUUCGAGUGGCGGACGGGUGAGUAACGCGUGGGUAACCUGCCUUACACAGGGGGAUAACACCUGGAAACAGGUGCUAAUACCGCAUAAGCGCACAGGGCCGCAUGGCCCGGUGUGAAAAACUCCGGUGGUGUAAGAUGGACCCGCGUCUGAUUAGCUUGUUGGCGGGGUAGGGGCCCACCAAGGCGACGAUCAGUAGCCGGCCUGAGAGGGUGGACGGCCACAUUGGGACUGGGACACGGCCCAAACUCCUACGGAAGGCAGCAG